AAAAAAUACAAAUUAACUCAAUUAUCUUGAUUUUCAAACUACAUAAAAUAUUAGAUUCAAAUCUUUUUUAAUAAUAAGAUUGAAUGAGUGAAAAUUCAAAUUUUAGUUUACCAAGUCAGUAAUACGUUUUCAGCUGUCAUAUCAAACUAAAUUUGAUAAAUUCAAAUAUCUAUAUCACCACUUAAUUUUUUAUUUCUUAAAAAUGACAUGACAAUUUUUAUUUGUUGGUUGGUCGUUGGAUCACACGUGAGUAACAAAAAAAUCGAUCAAGUCAUCUAAUUUUUAGUGAUUCCAUUCAUUGUUUAAUUAAAUUAUAAACCUAAAUUGAUUUAAUGCUGGUGCAAUCUAACUCAAAA
rnacentral:misc_RNA from 1 species